AACCUAGCACACCUGCGGUGUGUACCUGCGGAAGGAUCAUUAAAAAAAUCCAUUUUGCCCGCGGACCUUGCGUCCAAGGGGCAAAAAACCCACACUGUGUGCACCGUUAUCGUUUCUUUGGCAGGGGCUUGGGGUUGGUUUUUUCCGCCUCAACUUUUCCUCCGGCUCUAUCUCUUUUUUUUUGGGACAGCUGGACAUGGGAAGCAGUUACCCUGCCAAGUAACCCUUUUAAAUCACGCU
rnacentral:misc_RNA from 1 species